GACGAACGCUGGCGGCGUGCUUAACACAUGCAAGUCGAGCGAUGAAGCUCCUUCGGGAGUGGAUUAGCGGCGGACGGGUGAGUAACACGUGGGCAACCUGCCUCAUAGAGAGGAAUAGCCAUUCGAAAGGAUGAUUAAUACCUCAUAAUAUUGUAGCUUCGCAUGGAGCAACAAUCAAAGGAGUAAUCCGCUAUGAGAUGGGCCCGCGGCGCAUUAGCUAGUUGGUGAGGUAACGGCUCACCAAGGCGACGAUGCGUAGCCGACCUGAGAGGGUGAUCGGCCACAUUGGGACUGAGACACGGCCCAGACUCCUACGGGAGGCAACAGUGGGGAAUAUUGCACAAUGGGGGAAACCCUGAUGCAGCAACGCCGCGUGAGUGAUGACGGCCUUCGGGUUGUAAAGCUCUGUCUUCAGGGACGAUAAUGACGGUACCUGAGGAGGAAGCCACGGCUAACUACGUGCCAGCCGCCGCCGUAACAC
rnacentral:rRNA from 1 species